GACGAACGCUGGCGGCGUGCUUAACACAUGCAAGUCGAACGGAAAGGCCCUGCUUUUGUGGGGUGCUCGAGUGGCGAACGGGUGAGUAACACGUGAGUAACCUGCCCUUGACUUUGGGAUAACUUCAGGAAACUGGGGCUAAUACCGGAUAGGAGCUCCUGCUGCAUGGUGGGGGUUGGAAAGUUUCGGCGGUUGGGGAUGGACUCGCGGCUUAUCAGCUUGUUGGUGGGGUAGUGGCUUACCAAGGCUUUGACGGGUAGCCGGCCUGAGAGGGUGACCGGCCACAUUGGGACUGAGAUACGGCCCAGACUCCUACGGGAGGCAGCAGUGGGGAAUAUUGCACAAUGGGCGGAAGCCUGAUGCAGCAACGCCGCGUGCGGGAUGACGGCCUUCGGGUUGUAAACCGCUUCCGCCUGUGACGAAGCGUGAGUGACGGUAAUGGGUAAAGAAGCACCGGCUAACUACGUGCCAGCAGCCGCGGUGAUACGUAGGGUGCGAGCGUUGUCCGGAUUUAUUGGGCGUAAAGGGCUCGUAGGUGGUUGAUCGCGUCGGAAGUGUAAUCUUGGGGCUUAACCCCUGAGCGUGCUUUUCGAUACGGGUUGACUUGAGGAAGGUAGGGGAGAAUGGAAUUUCCUGGUGGAGCGGUGGAAUGCGCAGAUAUCAGGAGGAACACCAGUGGCGAAGGCGGUUCUCUGGGCCUUUCCUGACGCUGAGGAGCGAAAGCGUGGGGAGCGAACAGGCUUAGAUACCCUGGUAGUCCACGCUGUAAACGGUGGGUACUAGGUGUGGGGUCCAUUCCACGGGUUCCGUGCCGUAGCUAACGCUUUAAGUACCCCGCCUGGGGAGUACGGCCGCAAGGCUAAAACUCAAAGGAAUUGACGGGGCCCCGCACAAGCGGCGGAGCAUGCGGAUUAAUUCGAUGCAACGCGUAGAACCUUACCUGGGUUUGACAUGGAUCGGGAGUGCUCAGAGAUGGGUGUGCCUCUUUUGGGGUCGGUUCACAGGUGGUGCAUGCCUGUCGUCAGCUCGUGUCGUGAGAUGUUGGGUUAAGUCCCGCAACGAGCGCAACCCUUGUUCACUGUUGCCAGCACGUUAUGGUGGGGACUCAGUGGAGACCGCCGGGGUCAACUCGGAGGAAGGUGGGGAUGACGUCAAGUCAUCAUGCCCCUUAUGUCCAGGGCUUCACGCAUGCUACAAUGGCUGGUACAGAGAGUGGCGAGCCUGUGAGGGUGAGCGAAUCUCGGAAAGCCGGUCUCAGUUCGGAUUGGGGUCUGCAACUCGACCUCAUGAAGUCGGAGUCGCUAGUAAUCGCAGAUCAGCAACGCUGCGGUGAAUACGUUCCCGGGGCU
rnacentral:rRNA from 1 species